rnacentral:rRNA from 1 species
UACGUAGGGAGCAAGCGUUGUCCGGAAUCAUUGGGCGUAAAGCGCGUGUAGGCGGCUUGGUAAGUCCGCUCUGAAAGCCCGGGGCUCAACCCCGGGAGGCGGGUGGAUACUGUCAAGCUCGAGUCCGGAAGAGGCGAGUGGAAUUCCCGGUGUAGCGGUGAAAUGCGCAGAUAUCGGGAGGAACACCAAUGGCGAAGGCAGCUCGCUGGGACGUGACUGACGCUGAGACGCGAAAGCGUGGGGAGCAAACAGG